GGGCCCUUAGCUCAACUGGUAGAGCGCCACCCCUGCAAGGUGAGGGUUGUCGGUUCGAGUCCGACAGGGUCCA
rnacentral:tRNA from 1 species